GGAGAGGUGGCCGAGUGGCUGAAGGCGCUCCCCUGCUAAGGGAGUAUGCGGUUUAUAGCCGUAUCGAGGGUUCGAAUCCCUCCCUCUCCG
rfam:Solirubrobacterales bacterium 67-14 SCNpilot_bf_inoc_scaffold_129, whole genome shotgun sequence.